UACGUAGGGGGCUAGCGUUGUCCGGAAUCAUUGGGCGUAAAGAGCGUGUAGGCGGUCCGGUAAGUCCGCUGUGAAAGUCGGGGGCUCAACCCUCGAAUGCCGGUGGAUACUGUCGGGCUAGAGUGCGGAAGAGGCGAGUGGAAUUCCCGGUGUAGCGGUGAAAUGCGCAGAUAUCAGGAGGAACACCGGUGGCGAAGGCGGAUCUCUGGGCCAUUACUGACGCUGAGGAGCGAAAGCGUGGGGAGCGAACAGG
rnacentral:rRNA from 1 species